rnacentral:rRNA from 1 species
GUACACACCGCCCGUCAAGCCACGAAAGUUGGGGGGGCCCGAAGUCGCUGAGCUAACCGCAAGGGAGCAGGCGCCGAAGAUGAACUCCGCGAUUGGGACUAAGUCGUAACAAGGUAGCCGUAGGUGAACCUGCAGAAGGAUCA